GGAGAAGAUCACCAUCAUGGGGGCCGUCACCUGCACCCUCCUGACGGCCUGGAACCUCUCCAAGGGCCACCCCCACUUCGACGAGCCGCCGGCCUACCCCUACCUGCACAUCCGCAACAAGGAGUUCCCCUGGCGAGCCAUGGGUUUGACUUCGGCAAAGGGGAUCGCCCUCACCGUCUCCUUGUUUUGGCCUCCUCGCGUUUCUGCUCGGUGUCAUUUAUCUGUUAUACUAUAUGAAUCAUGCAUGCUGAUACACUACUGUGCAAGUUCUAUGGUAUGUGAGUUCCUUUUGUUGCUGCAAGCAUUGAUACAAUAUGUCAUGUUUAGGGAGCUCUGCAUCUGAGUCUCGGUCAUCCUGCACAGCGAGGAGUUGGGCCAAGGGAGCAAGCAGUGCUGCUGGUUCCUUGAGGCCGGAUUGAGUAAGAUGGUGCACCACGACGUGUGGCACGAGAGCUUCAGGCAUAAAAGGAAGUUGGAAGUGUGAAACCAUGAAGAUUGCUCAAGAAAGUACGGUAUAUUAUAUAUUGUAAUAGUAGACAUAUCUAGGUUGUAAAGAUUGUAAUAGACUAAUUUAGUGUUGUUUUCGACGAAUUUCAUGUGCUCUCUGGUCUGUUUGAAAUAUUGAUUCUGUAUGUGUUUUCAAUACUUGUGAAAUGGAAACCUGCGAUCUACAUAAAAAUGGGUGAUAAGUUUUGAA